AGCUUCCGGAGCAGCUGGGACUGCUGGCGCCCGCCACUACGCUCGGCUAAUUUUUUUGUGUUUUUAGUAGAGACGGGCUUUCACCGUGUUGGCCUAGCGGUUCUCCAACUCCUGACCUCAUGAUCCCCCCGCCUCAGCCUCCCAAAGUGCUGGGAUUACAAGCGUGAGCCACCGCGACCCGCCAACACUCUUGACAACAGUGCUGUGCUAAGAACUUGGGGGACUUCAAAAAGUUCACCAGUUCCUGUGUCCAUGGGUGAAAAGAUUUUCUACAUCUUUCCUUGACUAGAAACAGAAGUCCUGAAACAAGAAUAUAACGUCAGGAGGCCAGAGGCUUUGUCCUGCCUAAUGUGUUAUUUCCACACUGAAUAAAAGCACCUGAGUCCUGGUAAGUCUAAUUUGCUAGGUGUGGCAAUAUGACCAGUGAAAAACAACAAGGGCAGCAUUUCCUGCAGUUCGGUGGCACAGUAUGGUUCAAAGAGGUAUAAAAGGAAGUCACAGGCAUUUUAAAAAGGUUGUACAUCUAGCAAUACCUAACAAAAUAGGAAAUCAACUUGGAAAGCCAAUGGCUGUGUUUUGAGUUUAUGGAGAGCCAUAUGUGGCAAGGAACUGAGGGUGGCAUCCAGGCAACAGACUUCAAGAAACUGAGGCUGUCAGUCCAACAACCCACAAGAACUGAAUCUGACCAACAAUCACAGGAACAAACUUAGAAGUAUACUCUUUCCCAGACAAACCUUCAGAUGAGACCACAGCCCCAGCCAUAAGCUUGAAAACAAUCUCAUGAGGGACCUUGAGCCACAGGCAUGUAGUAAAGCUAUGCCAGGAAUCCUGCCUGCCCCACAGAAAAUGUAAAAAAAAUAAAUUUUUAUUGUUUUAAGCCACGAA
rnacentral:lncRNA from 1 species